rnacentral:rRNA from 2 species
UCUGAUGCAGCCAUGCCGCGUGAAUGAAGAAGGUUUUCGGAUUGUAAAGUACUUUUGUCGGGGAGGACAGGGGUGAGAGUAUACGUUUGCUCAUUGACGUUACCCAACCAAAAAGCCCCGGCUAACUACGUGCCAGCAGCCGCGGUAAUACGUAGGUGGCAAGCGUUGUCCGGAAUUACUGGGCGUAAAGCGCACGCAGGCGGUUUGUUAAGUCUGAUGUGAAAUCCCCCGGCUCAACCGGGGAACUGCAUUGGAAACUGGCAAACUUGAGUCUCGAAGAGGAGAGUGGAAUUCCAGGUGUAGCGGUGAAAUGCGUAGAGAUCUGGAGGAACACCGGUGGCGAAGGCGGCUCUCUGGACUGUAACUGACGCUCAGGUGCGAAAGCGUGGGGAGCAAACAGGAUUAGAUACCCUGGUAGUCCACGCCGUAAACGAUGACUG